UGGAGUGCCUGGUGGCAAAGAUGGGGGGGGGCUGUGCGCCCCAACAGGCCCACUAAAUCCUGGGUGUCUAUCCCUAAAAAUCGAGGUCCCAUGUCAUGUUUCCGGGGUGCCCUGUGCUUGUGCAACAUGGGCGCGUGGUGCGAACCAACGUGCGUGGCACCCUAGGCCUCAGUGGUAGUGGCAGGACCUGUGCUCAGUUAGAGGGUUACAAGGUAGGCGCAUCCCGGCCGACUGAGUUAAGGCGCAGGUAGCUGGGUAGAGGGUUCUCACAGGGACCUACUUGCUAAGCAGGGGACAGUCCCCUGGAUCGGCUGGGGGGGGGGGGGGGGGGGGGGAGCGCGCAGCCUCCACCUGCCUGAGCAGGCAGGGCGGGCUGUGAGGCACCUCGAAUAGCAGCCAGAUAGAUCUUACUAAGCGCCCCUAACCUCUGCUUUGCCUGGGAUCUCCUAGCAGCCUUUGGGGGGCCACCAGGUGCACCAUGAAGGGAAGGCUGGCUUGGCCACGCCAAAUCUGGGCCCCGCGUGGAGCCCCCGCACAAUGUCUGCGCCCUUCAGCAGAAAAAGAAGCAGGGCGGGAAACGUAGCUCAAACCAGACCUGUAAACCAGAGCUCACUGAAGUGCUUCUAAGCGGCGCGCCUUUGGGACCCCACCCAGUAUGAGCAGAUAACAGUUCCCUGUCCUCAGCACUUUGAAUUUGCUUAGUUGCAGGUUCGGCCCCAGGGGCCAAUGCGAUAAUUCCGGGCUAUUAAGAAACUCUCCCCGGGUGGUUUCAGAUAUAAGAAGCCAUUGUGAUUUUUACCAAGUCAAAAUCACUUCUAAACCGGUGCACCUUGUUUCCCUCUCCCGACCUCCGCACCUCUAGGCCUCUAAAGGGCCACUACUGGCGGAAACCAGUGCACCCGGGGCUAACCUCCCGGCCCGACCAUCAAUCACCGCGCCCGCGCUCUACACUCGCUUCCCCAAGCCCUCGACCUGUAGGGUUGGAGGCUCCAAGCCGCCCGAGCGCUCUGCCCUUCCCGCUUCCUGGCCGCCCAGGCGCUUUCCCUACCACCGCGUUGUUUGCAGAGUGCACACAAAGUGGCGCGCGUUUCGGAGCGCCCAGCCCAAAGGAGCGCUGCCGCCGAGGGAGAAGCCAGCAGCCCGCUCCCGCGCUACUCCGCAGCAGCCCUGAGGACAAACUGCGAGGUAGCCGGUGCCCCGCAGUGGAAGAGCUGGGGCACGAGGGAGCGCGCCACGGGGAGCUCACCACAAGGCCGAAGGUCGGGUCCGCUGGCGCAGGAGGAUCGGAGGAGAAGGGCGGGAGAGCGGAUGAAGUGGGAGCUGCUGAAGUGGACGCUGCUGAAGAGGUCUCUGGAGAAGCCGCUGACUCACACCCCGGAGAUGAACUCCUGGACUUUGCCAGGGUCCCCAGCAUGCUCUUCCUCAUGCCUGUGCUGGAUGCCUGCCACAGAGGACACACUCAACUGGGCUGCGGUCUUGGACACCACAUAGGGACUCCACACCAGGAAGACCCAAGCAAUGCUCUAUGCCAAUCUGCAAGCCUGGGAAGAAGUCACUACCUGAACCACCAACAUGAGGAUUGCACCAAACUGAUCAACACAACCCACACCAAAAAUUCUUUCCUCAUCUGGAACCCUGCCUUUCCCUCUGGAGCUGUCUGACCUCCCCCCUUCCCCAGCAUUUGCUACCUUUGCCCCUGGACUCCUGGAAGCAUUACAGAGACUGCUGCCUCGUGUCUGCUUGGCUUACACCCCUUGUUCCCAAGAAGUGACACCUGGAGCGCACCUGAAUCCCAGAUACUGUGACUGACUAGACUUCCUAGCCUUGGCUGGUUCCUUGGCUGAGUCUUGCAUUUGCAGGAGCUCUGAUGCUCCUGUGCUAGAGAUACCUCUGUUCUGCUGUAUACCUGAAGGACACUCACCUCUGAGGAAAGACUGGGGCUGGUGGGAGGUUUCUGAGGUUUCAUUCAGUUCUGGGAGCGUGGGGAUCUCCUGGGCCACAGGCCACAGCACUUGGGCACGGGGCUGGAGUCUCGGGAUGCUCUAGCCUGUUUCUUCUCAGGUUCCGGCUCAGGCUUCAGCUCGGGCUCAGGCUCAGGCUCAGGCUUCAGCUCAGGCCUCGGUGGCAGAGGCCUCGGCUCGGGCCUUGGUGGCAGAGGCCUCGACUCGGGCCUUGGUGGCAGAGGCCUCAGCUCGGGCCUUGGUGGCAGAGGCCUCAGCUCGGGCCUCGGUGGCACGGGCCUCGGCUCAGGCCUCAGUAGCAGAGGUCUCAGCUCAGGCCUUGGUGGCACGGGCCUCGGCUCAGACCUCAGUAGCAGAGGUCUCAGCUCAGGCCUCGGUGGCAGAGGCCUCGGCUCAGGCCUAGGUGGUACAGGCCUCGGCUCAGGCCUAGGUGGUACAGGCCUUGGCUCAGGCCUAGGUGGCACAGGCCUCGGCUCAGGCUUUGGUGGCUCAGGCCUCGGCUCAGGCUUUGGUGGCUCAGGCCUCGGCUCAGGCUUUGGUGGCUCAGGCCUCGGCUCAGGCUUAGGUGGCUCAGGCCUGGGCUCAGGCUUAGGUGGCUCAGGCCUCGGCUCAGGCCUUGGUGGCACAGGCCUGGACUUAGGCUUCUGCAGCUCUGGCUGGACGAGAAGUUUAGCCUUAGGAGACUCAGAACCCUGGGUUAGGGGCCUGCAGUCGUCGUAGUCGUUCUCCUCUUCCUCCUCCUCCUCUUGCACAGUGAGCUCUGUUUUAAUUACUCGUCCCCUGAGGAGGAGAAGCAAAAAUCCUUGAGAUUAUCUCAAAAACAAAUCUUCUCCAGCUGAGUCUGGCCCCCUCCCCCCACCUUGCUGCUGGAUGGGGAAGCCCAAGGGUCACCUUGUCAUGGUUGGAGCACUCCCCCCUACCCUGUCCCUUCAGCUGCCUACUCUCCCCACCCCCUUCUCAGUAGAAGGGAGGAAGCAGUUGGUGAGAAGUCACUUUGCCAAGUUUGACAACUGUUCAGGGAGAGGCAGGAGACCCUCCUUUGGGAAGGACAAUCUGGCUCCUGCCUGGCUGGGGGCGGGGGUGGUGGUGGUGUAAAACUGCUGCUGCACACAAAAGGCUUUCUUUGAGGGGUCACAGCUAAAAAUGUGAAUGUCUCCCAUUCCUCUCCUCACACUUCUACCUUGGAUGGGAACAAAAAACAAAGGGCACAUGGAUCUGCCUUAGGAAGGCAACUUCUGGAAGGGGUGGCAGGGCUUCUCCCCAUAAACAUUAUACCGGUGGAUUAAGGAGUCUGGGAUCCCAGUUGCAGGGAAAAAAAGCUUUGUGCACAAAUGAAUGUGCAACUGGGAGUGCUGUGGCUGCUGCUCCAAAUUCCUGCCUGUGCACAGGGAACACGGANNNNNNNNNNNNNNNNNNNNNCACUGCUCUAGAAUCUCUGGCCCCUCUGCACAGUUUAGCCGGGAGUGGGGUGGGGGUGGGGGGGAGGAGCGGGGGGAGCAUACACCAGGGGGAAAAUGUUCACACAGAAAAAUUUCACAUUUGCAAAAACAGCUGUGUACUCCUGCUGGGAAGAGAAAGAGCGCUGCCUCUCCCCUUUGCAUGGUAGAUUAGAGAACGAAACCAUACUUUCCUUGUAGCUUUGUGCAGCCCUUUAAGUCCCAGUCCCAGUUGUCCUUUUGUCCCCUCAGAAGUUGAAGUCACUCUUAAGACCGUCCGGUUUAGCGGCAACCUUCCCCCUCUUCAGAGACUAACUGAAGGACCCUAACUCUCCCAAGUCCCCAGCCACCUACCCACACCAGAAUAUUUAAACUGCACCUUCACUCAUACACAAAAGGCAUGAACAAGGGGAAAUCAAUUAGUUACCUGUACUCUAGUCGCUUCGUAGUUCCUGAAGUUCCCGGACGGUGGAUAAAGAGGACCGGGGAGUCACUGGUGCCCAAGAUUCUCUUCCGAAAUUGCCCGGACGAUGAUCCGCUGGCUGGGUCAAUAUUAGCAGCCCCCUCCAAAGCAGGGGGUGCUCUGGUUGUGGUGCCCGGGCCCUCCAGCCGGGGCGACGAUGUUGCGGCGGGGCUGGAAGGGGCUGAGUCUGAGUCUGAAGAGACGGUGAGAGGGAGUUUUAGAGCGUGCAUGAUAACAGAGCCCCUAGAAGUGGCUUCUGCUCUCCACCACUGAGUAAGGCACCUGCUCGAAUGACACCACGCUUUUAUCCCUCACCUCGUCCCCUCCACGCCCACUUCCAGCCCCCUCCAAAUUUGGGAAAUGAUAUGCCAGUAAAGUACUGCAAAGACUUAUGGGGCAGCUGGCUAUGGCGCUUUCCCACACUAGGGUAUGGGGGCAUUAGAGGGUGGGGCUUUGGCCCCUGCCUGACAGACAGGAAGGCGUCUAUGCAGGUUUGAAUUAAGCUAGAAGCACUUCCUGUUAGCUAGGGGGUAGGGACUAUGUGCAGGGGUGGAGAGUGGGUGGGGCUUCACUGGAUUGACACCUGGCAGUCACCUGACACCCUGGAAUGUCUGUGGGCGUGGCACAGGUAAAAAGGGGCGUGGCUUAUGCAAAUUAGGGUCCGGAUUUAAAAUAAAUAUUAAAAUUACUUUCUAAGGUC
ensembl:antisense Igf2os insulin-like growth factor 2, opposite strand